UACGUAGGGGGCAAGCGUUGUCCGGAUUUACUGGGCGUAAAGAGCGUGUAGGCGGCCACGCAGGUCCGUUGUGAAAACUGGAGGCUCAACCUCCAGCUGUCGACGGAAACCGUGUGGCUAGAGUCCGGAAGAGGAGAGUGGAAUUCCUGGUGUAGCGGUGAAAUGCGCAGAUAUCAGGAAGAACACCAAUGGCGAAGGCAGCUCUCUGGGACGGUACUGGCGCUGAGACGCGAAAGCGUGGGGAGCAAACAGG
rnacentral:rRNA from 1 species